CGUCUGCUUUUCAAGUGUCGUUUUGCUUUUCAAAAAUUACACGAAGUUUAAGAUUACGUGAGAUUACUAACAAAAAGGAAUAUGAUAACGUUCGAAUUCAGCUAAAGGUUUAAAAGCUGAAGUAAAAGAGCCAAAUCGAAGUUGAAAGAUGUCUCGGUUGCCCUCGUAAUUUUCAAGGAUGAAGAAGUUAUUAAAGAAGUUGAAAAAUGAAAACACACGUACGGACAUACAGUCAACACUAGUACAAUGUUGAACUUGCGGAAACAAAUCAAUGUGUCUUCAUAAUUUAAAAUAAAAAAAUUGGUCACAGGAA